AAUAUUUAAAAUUAAUGCAAGUUUCUAGCUUAUCAUUCAAAUGAGAUCUAUUAAUGCCACUGCAUUAUAAUAAAAAGGCUGAUAAUAUAUGUAAAUCACUCACAAAAUAUAAAGUAUCCUAGGAAUGUGCCAAAUUAGCUAGCAAACUUAGCUUUCACGUCCCCCGCUCUUUUUAAACCUCUGGCUUUGUUUAUGCCAACUCGCCACAAACAAAACCAAAAGAUUUUAAGCCAAAAAGUCAACCCUCCCCUGCCUUUUGGCCAUUCGCCCCGAGACUUGGAAUCUUUUGUAGAUUUGCGUGAAAGACACAGACUGCCUAAAAAUUCAAUUAAAGAGAAAGGAAGUGAAAAUCGUUUGUCGCUGGCGCAAAAUGUUCCAUAUUAUAUUUAAAUGGAAUUAGUUUUAAUUAAGUCCCUAGCUAGGUUAGGCGCAGCCACAAAGAAAAUUCCCAUCCUGGCCAGAAAAAUGUUAACAGACUCAAAUUACCACCUCCCAGCCCCAGGAACCCAAAAAAAAAAUAACAAAACGAGGGACUCAACCAACUUAAGCAACAGCAACAAACUGAAACCAAAAUGUAGCCGCCAAAGGAAGUGAUUAAAAUUUUACCUAGCCCCAAAGCCCCAAAACUCGGGCAUCGGACCCAAAACCCAAAAAUGAAGACCAAGGAAUCUCGCUGCCCUUUUGCUCCCUUUUACCUUUUCUGGCUCUACUUUGUAUACGUAUAUUUUUUUGUAAUAAGUAUUAAUUAAUGCAAAAUGAAGACGAAACGUAAGUAGGGCUUCUGCCGAUUUUGCUCCCGCUUCUUCUUUUACAAAAGAGCAGCCGUUUUGCAGUUGUUCCCUCAUUUUUAGUUGCUGGUUGAUUUUCUUGCUGUUUUUUUUUUUACUUUUUUUUUUGAAAUUUGAGACCCGCCGUCCAAGCAAAGUGACGCAAAUUAAGAGAACCCCUGGUCAGGAGCAAGUCAAGCAGAAGCAACUUAAUGAAAACGAAAUUGACACCUACCUACCUAGCUGGGAAUGAGAAUGUCUGUGCAGCUCCUUCGGCUCCUCAGCCCCGUCCUCCGAUCCUGACCACAACUGUAAAGUUAUACGCACGUCUGGCGUUACCCAGUAUAAUGUAGUGGACAUGGAAGGGCGGUUUUUUCUUUUUUUUUUUUUUUUUUGUUCCGGGGGAAAGGACAUGUCAAUAGUUGCCCGCUUCGCACUUCCUGUGACAUUCUGCUGCCCAUCAUCGGGCCACGCCACUCACAUCCUUGUGUGUCCUGUCCUGCUCUGUGCUGUCCUGUCCUGCCCGCUCAUAAAUCUUCCGCUCGCAUAUUUCUGGGUGUGUGUGCUUUUAUCUGGCUUUCACGCUUCCGGGCGCUCUUCCAUGACCCCCAAUCCUCGAUGCUGGAGAACCCGGAUCCAAUACGAAAACCGAAAAACCGAAUUGUGUCUCCAGUUAUUUGAGUUUCGGUGUUUAGCUCAUAAAUCUGCUUAUCUGGGGAGUUGGAUCCAUCCGCAACCCCUGGAAUAGGACUAAAAGUUCCUUCAGUUUCAGCUUCAGUUCGAGUCAGUUUUGUUUUCCCAGCUUUCCCGACUUUCCCGGCAGCUGGGUGGCAUUAAAGGCUGAGGGCUUUGCAACUUGACCCUGUUGCAGUCAUGCAUAAAUUUCUUAGAUUCCCAGCCAUUGACAAGCCGCACACACUCCAAGAAAUAUAAAUUAAAAUAUGUUUCAGUAGUCAGCAGCAGCAGCAGCAGCCGUAUUGGUCCCAAAGUUAUAAAUAUUUUUGGGGGAAUUAAUUAAGCCCCUAAAAGGAAGGAUAGCGACCAGGACCAGGACCAAAAUAUGCACAAAAUGAAAUUAGAGCCGAAAAAAGAUAAAAACGUAAUGAAAUGAAAUGCGGCCUAAAUGUUUUCAGACAUUUUAGGGUUGUCGCAGGCGGCAGAAAAACAAUGAGGGCCCAAUAAAUUGGCAGGAUGCGGCAGGAGGCAGUAGCCGAAGGAAAUUGAAAUAUGUUCGGCCUACAAAUGGGUUGGAAGGAUGCUGUGUGAACUGGAGUGUAAAGCACAGGCUCCUAAUGAAGGAUUAUGGGGCGGGGAAGUGCUGUAAAGAUUAUGGCUUCAGGUUCGAGAUGAUCCAUUGUUAUCGACAGUGAACAAGUUGGGGAAAACACAAAUUGCCAGAAUGAUAUAUAUAGCAAGGGAAAGUUAAGGGGAUUCUGGUUUUGGGAAGGACCGGCCCAAGUAAUGUGGCGUUAAUUGUGAAAGAAAAUGACAGCGAUGUAGCAAUUAUCUUAAGACGUUUAGCGCAUUAAAGGCUUUGUGUAAUUAAAUUAUUAACUUUGACUGUUCCCAAUUAAUAACUAAGCCCCAAUUAGUUGAAUGACAAGGCGCAGCUUAUGAAAAUUCUGAACAAACUGUCCGAAUAUUUUCAUUUAUUUAGCAGUUAAACCUUUAAUCCGGCAUGCUGUUUAAUUUAAAUUUUGAUGUGCGGUCAAAAAUUCCUGCUCGCUCAUAUGCGACAAUUUUUCUCGGUUAUUUCUAUUUUUAUGUUGCGCACGUAGUUUUUCCUUGGCCGAGCAGCAGGAUGCGGACAGGAUGCGGACAGGGCGCACUGCAGGACACUUUCGGCUGCAGUCUGCAUACGUCAUCGAACUGUUGACCGAGUUGGCGGCUGGCCAACAUGUUGCCUGUUGCCUGUCAGCACAAUUUCCAGAUAGGCACGGACUCCGUUCUCCGGGCUCCAUACUUGGGGCUCCGGACUCUGGACUCCGGUUGCAAGACCACCAAAGAUUCAGGGCCCAAUAGCUGAGCCAGGACACGCAGCUAGGACACACUGUUUUAUGCAUUGCAUGCACUAAGGCGCAAAGUGUUGAUAGAGCACACCCAUGCCCACUCCCCCACCCGCACUUACUCCCCGAAUCAGCGACUCUGACACAGACAGAUGCAGAUUUCUGCUGAGGCUGCAGGGGGCUCCAGUGGCAGGACUCGAAGCAUCCUGCAGCUGGCCCCGUCAUAAAGAGGAAAACUGAGCUGAGCCAACUGCAGUGGCAACUAUGGUACAGUGGGUGCGCUCCGAACGGCAGCCAUAAAAUUUCAAAACUCAUGUCCAAGAAACGUGGUGAAAUACAUUUCCUUUGGUAAAAGGACGCUGAGUUUGUAUUUUAUGUAUGUAUCUAUUGAUGGGAGCACAUAAAGUGGGCAAAUGUCGAAUAGCAAAGAAGGGCGCCAUUUUCCGCUGCCGCGGCCGGGCUCUCAUCUUUCCAUUUGGCAGCGGAAAAGCGCGCGGCGAGCGAGGGGCUUGCAACAUGCUGUCGUUAUGGCCAAGGCGACAGUUUUCCGCUGCAGUCUUGCUCCAUUUCGGCUGCACUUGGUCUUUAGUCUUUGCCACUCGACUCGACUCGCUGUAAUUUCUUGGCGUUUAUUUUUGUGCUUUCUGCGGUAAGUUUUUGCGCUUGCCGCUUGCCGGUUGACAAAGUUUCAAGUGUUCGCUUUCUAAUGUAAUUAAAAUGCUUACAAAUGUUUGCCAACAGCGAUAAAAUAAUCAUUUGAAGCUGCCAGUAAAAGGGAGUAAAAGGCAACAGAUAAGGGUGGCUGGCAGCCCGAAAAAGGACCCAAAUAGAAUUAUAAUUUAAGUGGAGCAUGGCAGCGUUAUCAACAUCUAAUUUGUAGCAUCAAAUAAAAAUCAAAUAAAAUUAUCA